UACGAAGGGGGCUAGCGUUGUUCGGAUUUACUGGGCGUAAAGCGCACGUAGGCGGAUUGUUAAGUCGGGGGUGAAAUCCUGGAGCUCAACUCCAGAAUUGCCUUCGAUACUGGCUUUCUAGAGGCUGGAAGAGGUUAGUGGAAUUCCCAGUGUAGAGGUGAAAUUCGUAGAUAUUGGGGAGAACACCAGUGGCGAAGGCGGCUAACUGGUCCAGAUCUGACGCUGAGGUGCGAAAGCGUGGGGAGCAAACAGG
rnacentral:rRNA from 1 species